CGCCAGACUCCUACGGGAGGCAGCAGUGGGGAAUAUUGGGCAAUGGGCGCAAGCCUGACCCAGCAACGCCGCGUGAAGGAAGAAGGCCCUCGGGUUGUAAACUUCUUUUAACAGGGACGAAGAAAGUGACGGUACCUGUUGAAUAAGCCACGGCUAACUACGUGCCAGCAGCCGCGGUAAUACGUAGGUGGCAAGCGUUAUCCGGAUUUACUGGGUGUAAAGGGCGUGUAGGCGGGAGAGCAAGUCAGACGUGAAAUUCCAGGGCUCAACCCUGGAACUGCGUUUGAAGCUGUUCUUCUUGAGUGAUGGAGAGGCAGGCGGAAUUCCGUGUGUAGCGGUGAAAUGCGUAGAGAUCGGGAGGAACACCAGUGGCGAAGGCGGCCUACUGGGCUCUAACUGACGCUGAGGCACGAAAGCGUGGGUAGCAAACAGGAUUAGAUACCCCUGUA
rnacentral:rRNA from 1 species